UUGCGACCACUUCACGUUGAAACACCGCUUCCUGUACGACCACUAAAGUUAAGCAACGUCGACGCUGGUGAGUAUCUAGAUGGGUGACCGCUUGGGAAUACCAGGUGCU